rnacentral:rRNA from 1 species
AGAGUUUGAUCCUGGCUCAGGAUGAACGCUGACAGAAUGCUUAACACAUGCAAGUCAACUUGAACUUCGGUUUGGGUGGCGGACGGGUGAGUAACGCGUAAAGAACUUGCCUCACAGAUAGGGACAACAUUUGGAAACGAAUGCUAAUACCUGAUAUUAUGAUUUUAGGGCAUCCUAGAAUUAUGAAAGCUAUAUGCGCUGUGAGAGAGCUUUGCGUCCCAUUAGCUAGUUGGAGAGGUAACGGCUCACCAAGGCGAUGAUGGGUAGCCGGCCUGAGAGGGUGAUCGGCCACAAGGGGACUGAGACACGGCCCUUACUCCUACGGGAGGCAGCAGUGGGGAAUAUUGGACAAUGGACCAAGAGUCUGAUCCAGCAAUUCUGUGUGCACGAUGAAGUUUUUCGGAAUGUAAAGUGCUUUCAGUUGGGAAGAAAAAAAUGACGGUACCAACAGAAGAAGUGACGGCUAAAUACGUGCCAGCAGCCGCGGUAAUACGUAUGUCACAAGCGUUAUCCGGAUUUAUUGGGCGUAAAGCGCGUCUAGGUGGUUAUAUAAGUCUGAUGUGAAAAUGCAGGGCUCAACUCUGUAUUGCGUUGGAAACUGUGUAACUAGAGUACUGGAGAGGUAAGCGGAACUACAAGUGUAGAGGUGAAAUUCGUAGAUAUUUGUAGGAAUGCCGAUGGGGAAGCCAGCUUACUGGACAGAUACUGACGCUGAAGCGCGAAAGCGUGGGUAGCAAACAGGAUUAGAUACCCUGGUAGUCCACGCCGUAAACGAUGAUUACUAGGUGUUGGGGGUCGAACCUCAGCGCCCAAGCAAACGCGAUAAGUAAUCCGCCUGGGGAGUACGUACGCAAGUAUGAAACUCAAAGGAAUUGACGGGGACCCGCACAAGCGGUGGAGCAUGUGGUUUAA